UCUGAAAAUGUCCCAUUCAGUCGAACUCAUACGGAAAAAAAGCGUUUAAAAGUCCACCCUCAUCCAAUGUUACAAAAUAACGGAGACCGGCAUCUAAUCCUAACCAACAAUUGAAGCAAAUCUUGACAAGCUACUAUGAUCAAGUCCUGGUUUUGGAUUUGAACUCAUGUUUGACCACGGGGGACAACCAGUUGCAAGACAAGGAGGCAUUAUACAUACACAGAAUAAUGGAGACUUUGACGCUGUAAAAGGAUUUACAAGGCAAGAACUGAAAGGGCCAAGAAAAAUCAAAGAACUACAGAUGCUGGAAAUCAAGUACAAAAACAGAAAUUGCUAGAAAAUCUCCACAGGUCUGGCAGCAUCUGUGGAGAGAAAGCAGAGUUAACAUUUUGGAUCCAGUGAACCUUCUUCAGAACUAGUUCAACUGAAAGGGCCAACCUGUUUAAAAAAAACUUUGUACACCACUGAGAGUGUGAAAGAGUGCAUGAUGGGAGAUAGACUUGGAGAGUGAACAGACAAAGAUAAUAAUAUGAAGCUGGAGGAGAAUGCAUAUGGGUGAGAUACUAUUACGUGCCUCUGGAGGAGGCAGGGACAUUACCACUACACAACAGAGCCUGACAGUGGAUCUUCUACCUCAGUUCUGCUAUCCUGAUUCUAUUCUCCUUCAAAAAUCUAUCAAUCCCGAGUAUUGGUAGAGUGGAGGAUAUGCCAGGAAACCCCAGAUCCCUUAACUCCCAAGUUGAAAACUAUGGAUUUAGCAUGUUCAUCCCAAAUAUGGAGUUGGGCACUACCUUCAGGAGGGAUGCAGGAAUAAGAGGAUGACCAUCUCCGGUAGUGGAAGCACUCAUGAACCCAGGACCAAGCCUCCCUGUUCACUACAGAAGGUUGUGUGCACAGCCCAGACCAUCACAGAAACCAACCUUCCAUCCAUGGAUUCCAUUUACACGGCUCUUUGCUGUGGAAAGGCUGCCAACAUCAUCAAAGACCCAUCGCACCCCAGUAAUGCUCUCCUACAACCACUUCUGUAUGGCAGAAAAUACAGAAGCUUGAAUACACGGACCAGUAGGUUCAGGAACAGCUUCAUUCCAGCCAUUAUUAGAUUGAUGAAUGGACUAACUUCGAAUAAUGCUGCUCUUGUUAAUGUUGAUCUUGCCCUGUGCAAUGUAACCUGUAUGCCUCUUAAGUUUUUUUUUCACCCUAUGAUCUAUCUGUAUGUCCUUGCUUACUAUGAUCUGCCUUUAUUGCUCAUAAACAAAGCUUUUCACUGUACUUAGGUACACAUGACAAUAAAUAAAUAAAUCAAAUCACAUCAAGAAAUGCUCAGGAUGUAAUGGGAAAAA